rnacentral:rRNA from 1 species
CCCUUAGAUGUUCUGGGCCGCACGCGCGCUACACUGACUGGUGCAACAAGUGUCGCUCCUUGGCCGAUAGGCCUGGGCAAUCUUUGAACGCCAGUCGUGAUGGGGAUAGAUUCUUGCAAUUUUUGAUCUUCAACGAGGAAUUCCUAGUAAACGCGAGUCAUCAACUCGCAUUGAUUACGUCCCUGCCCUUUGUACACACCGCCCGUCGCACCUACCGAUUGAAUGGUCCGGUGAACCCCCCGGAUCGGCUCGCGCCAACGCAAGUUGAGCAAAGGCCGAGAAGUUGGGUAAACCUUACCAUUUAGAGGAAGGUGAAGUCGUAACA